rnacentral:rRNA from 1 species
GACGAACGCUGGCGGCGUGCUUAACACAUGCCAGUCGAACGGAAAGGCCCUGCUUUUGUGGGGUGCUCGAGUGGCGAACGGGUGAGUAACACGUGAGUAACCUGCCCUUGACUUUGGGAUAACUUCAGGAAACUGGGGCUAAUACCGGAUAGGAGCUCCUGCUGCAUGGUGGGGGUUGGAAAGUUUUGGCGGUUGGGGAUGGACUCGCGGCUUAUCAGCUUGUUGGUGGGGUAGUGGCUUACCAAGGCUUUGACGGGUAGCCGGCCUGAGAGGGUGACCGGCCACAUUGGGACUGAGAUACGGCCCAGACUCCUACGGGAGGCAGCAGUGGGGAAUAUUGCACAAUGGGCGGAAGCCUGAUGCAGCAACGCCGCGUGCGGGAUGACGGCCUUCGGGUUGUAAACCGCUUUCGCCUGUGACGAAGCGUGAGUGACGGUAAUGGGUAAAGAAGCACCGGCUAACUACGUG